rnacentral:lncRNA from 1 species
UCGAAUUUACCAACUGGCCUUGAAUUGGCUCGAAGUUUGAAGGUCGAGUUGUCUGCAUUCUUGUGUGUAAACAUUCACAAUAGAAGAGAUCCUACUUAGUGUGGCAAAGUUGUUGUACACCAGAUGUAAUGACCCUUUCAAGGAAUUGUCUAGAAACAAAGAAAAAAAGAAAAAGGAUGGAUGUCAAAACUAGUUGUGUAAGUAUUGUUAUAUCAAUCAAAAGCUACUAUGCCUCAAUUCACAAUCAGUUGGGGUUUACUAUAUUAAAUCUUUUGUAUCCAUUCAGUUCUGUUCUGGUAUUAGAGUUCUUUGUAACAAUCCUUUGAAUUCAUAUUCCUUAAUUUGUUUAAGCUAAAAUACUUCAUGGGAUCAAAGUGCCAGGAAGAUAAUAAUACACAAAAUGUAAGAAUGGAUGGUUGAAAAGAACUUACUAUUCUACAACUUAAAUGGACGUACUAGGAAAUCAAUCAAGAUACACAAAAAGUAGUAAAGGACUAAUGAAAAGAAGCUGAUUUAUCUUAGAACCCUGUUGAAGCCUCUUGAGAGGGGGAGACAGCAUCAUAUUUCAAGCAAGCAAAGUCAAGACAAAGACAGUUGAAGUGAAUUACACCCCAUAUCAAAAUACCCCUUUUUGUUAACCUGUUAUUCGUUAUUGUUCGUUGAUUUUCCUCUUUUUGCUUUUGAUGUCUGUGUUCUUGUAACAAAAAUGAAUCUUGAGGCAAGGAUAAACAAAGGGAAGAUGACUCUCCAAUUAAAAGGACCAUAUAUAUGCUGUCUAUGUAUCAUAGAUAGUUUGAUCAGAGUCUGCAUGAUCAACAGUACUGUACAAUUGUAGAAGCCGCAAUUCAAACAUUUUACUUCAUAUACACACAAUAUCUAAGACAGAUUCUGCAGGGAAUAUGAGCAUUUCACUCUCAUCCCCUGUCUGUUUCGAAAACGGCUUGUUCUAGACUCAGAACUGUUGAAAAUUCUGUUACCCCACCAGCAGGGUUGUUUCUGCUGUAAGUUGUUAUUAGUUGUCACCGAGUCUUUGAGAAGCCAAUCAAAGUGAAAACUUCAUUCCACUAACAAAAAAGUAUGUGAUGUAUUCUUGAGGAAUGCAGACAACAAAGAUUUUAUACCAAACCCUGUAAAUGAACCAGAUGCUUUUCUUACUUCUUUUUCAUCUUUUUAUUUGUUAGUUUAGGUAACUUUUUGUCCCCGUUUCCCACGGUGAAUUCAUGAAGAAUCCUUAGUCAUAGACAUGUAUAAAUUUAUGUGUGCAUCAAAGAAUUGAAUAACCAACUCAUUGAAGUUACCUAAAUUCGAGUUCAAUUUAAUUAGUCCAGUGGGGGUUCUCUAUUGUGUGGUGUGUUCCUGAAGAAUGUCCAACCAACAAAGACCAUUUUCAUGGUUCCGUUUGGCUCCUUUUGGUCGCCAAAUGCAACCAACUCCAGCUCCCACUCCACCACCAACCCCUCGGCCAACAGCAUUUCGAUCUCCUGCUCCACGACCAUAUAGGCCUCCUGCCCCUCAGCCUCGACCACCUGCUGUCACAUCUCCUCCUCCACCUGCUACUCCAAUUCGAGCAUUGUUCCCUGGCAUUACUGCACCAAAAUCUCCAACACCAUCUACUGCCCCUGUCUCUCCAGCCAAAUCAAUACUUUCUUCAUCACCUACAUCUCCUGCAUUUCUCCCAAUUGCUUCCUCUUCCUUCAGCUUAAAAAGCCCUGAAACCAAGACCCCAAAACCAACAGCUAAAACUGCAGCACCUCCACCCCCUUCCCCUGCCACCACCACUCCUACUACUUCAAGAAUUGUCAAGCCUUGGAACGAAUCUCCACCAAAAUUACACCCCGAAACAAAGCCUCUGUUUCGUCUACCUGGGAAAGAAACCGCUGGAAAUUCUAAGAUGAAUGAGAAAUCUGCUAUGGAUAGUAGUACAAAAUUUGAAAAAUUACCAAGGAGGUUGGUAACACUAAUUGGCGAAAACAAAGGGGCAAUAAUGCUAUUGAAACCAAAUUCCACCAAGAAAUCUUAUACUACUACUAAUAAUGUGUUUGGAGGUAAGUCCCAAACUGUUGGCAAGAAAGAAGAAGGCAAUACUGUUGAAGGAGAUCAAAAGAAGAAGAAAGAAGAUCAAAGUGACAUUAAUUCAAUGGAGAUGGAAGAAUCUACUAUGUUCAUUAACAGUAAUGUACAAGGAGUGAACAACUCGAUUUUAGACGAAUCGAGUUUCACUGACCAUGAUCCUGGUUUCCAUAUCUUCUUCUCAACGGAUUAAAAUCCUCUGCUUUGCUAAUUAUAGAUACAAUGGUGAAACGCAAGCAUAUGAAGUUGAGGUAACAAUAAUAUUCUAUAUACUAUAUGAUGUUUGAGAAGUUGAUAAUAAACAAAUUAAAAUGAGGAGGGCGUGGAUUCUGGAUUCUCCAUGUUUGAGUUGUAGUCCACCUUUUGAUGUAAUAUGUUAUCGGCAUUAAUUUAUGAAUUUCCUUUCAAGUUGUCCUGUUUUGCAAAUAUUUGUGUUACAAACUAUUAUUAUUUCUGUAAUGUGAAUCGGGAUAACAUAAAUAAAUAAAAAAUAUAAUGACGGAAACCAAGCUAAAUCAUCAGUUGAUCGGCCUUGAUGACAUAACUAGCUAGUUACGAUUUUAAUUUUAGCUAAGAUAUUCGUGUUACAUUUAAGAUAUGAUAGCAAACGCAUGCAUGUCAUGCAUCUUUGGAGGCGGAUAAAUUUUUACCUCUUCCAGUGAAAUAAAACAUGUCGGAAUUCUUCAAAACGUUCCAUAUGGAAUUGAUCUACAGAGUUGGGCAUUGGAAGGACAUCUGCAACAUUGCUUCAUUUUAGUACAGCAAUUUACGAAAGAUUAUAAACUGAAUUUGACUAUUUAUUUUCAAUAUGUUAUUUACUACCUUCUUUUUAUUUGGAAUAUUGGC